rnacentral:rRNA from 1 species
UCAGCAUGCCGCGGUGAAUACGUUCCCGGGCCUUGUACACACCGCCCGUCACACCACGAGAGUUUGCAACACCCGAAGUCGGUGAGGUAACCUUCUUGGAACCAGCCGCCGAAGGUGGGGCAGAUGAUUGGGGUGAAGUCGUAACAAGGUAUCCCUACCGGAAGGUGGGGAUGGAUCACCUCCUUUCU